GUUAAGAAUCCUUGCCAAGCUGAUGACUUGGCACCUCCCUGGUCCUGCAGUUCUCUGGCUGUUCAAGGAAGCUGGGUGUGAUAUGCUGCUGGGACUCAGGAGUAGUCCCAAGUCGGACAAACCAUCUCAUUUCCAUCAGUAGCCAAAGAGUCGCUGUCAGACAACUGCAAAACUCUGUGCACAGACACCAGAAAUGUCUGAAUCUGGGGAGUCUGGUGGGGAGAUGGAAGAUGCAGAGUGGGUGCUGAAAAAAGCAGCCGAAGGAUCCAAGAAAAGCCUGUCGGGGUAUGAGCCAGCGUUCCUGCCAUGGCCGAUGUGGAAACAGGCACUGUGGCAACAAGAAGCAGAAGUGAGGCUGUGCCGCAGGCUGUCAUUGUGAUGCAACAAAAUGUAUCUGCUGGACCAUCCUGAGGACCAAAUGAGAUUCUGAAGGAUCCUUCAAACUGGAAGAUCCCACUGAUGUGACUGCUGGGGAGACCACCUUUGAACCAAUAUGUAUCACUCUGAGCAAGAAGCACAACACAAUCUACCAGGGAGAGAUGAACUUCGAUGCAGCAAAUCUUGUCGUGGUGUUUCGUCGCCUUUGCCUGCAGGAGGUCUGUCAGUCCCACGGUUUUGACGUACCCGCUGCCGAAUUGCCAACGAAUCCGCAGGACUGGUGGACCUACCGCAGGGGCACCGCCAAAGGCAGCCUGCCUACCGCCCUUGCAGGA